AUUGAACGCUGGCGGCAUGCCUAACACAUGCAAGUCGAACGGAGGUAGGGGCAACUCUACUUCAGUGGCGGACGGGUGAGGAAUGCGUCGGAAUCUACCCUAUGGUGGGGGAUAACACAGGGAAACUUGUGCUAAUACCGCAUGAUGUCGAGAGACCAAAGCAGGGGACCGCAAGGCCUUGCGCGAUAGGAUGAGCCGACGCCCGAUUAGCUAGUUGGUAGGGUAAAGGCCUACCAAGGCGACGAUCGGUAGCUGGUCUGAGAGGAUGAUCAGCCACACUGGGACUGAGACACGGCCCAGACUCCUACGGGAGGCAGCAGUGGGGAAUAUUGGACAAUGGGCGCAAGCCUGAUCCAGCAAUGCCGCGUGUGUGAAGAAAGGCCUGCGGGUUGUAAAAGCAACUUUUGUUCGGGAAGAAAUCAAUGCCGACUAAUACUUGGAUGGAUGACGUACGAGAUAAGACG
rnacentral:rRNA from 1 species